rnacentral:sRNA from 2 species
AACCAAAGAUCAGGACCGCGGGGUCCGCGAAGCCGGUGAGAAUCCGGCACAGUCCCGCUACGGUGACCAGCCCCCGACGUGACGUCGGUGGCGCUGGAAGUCCGGUCGCCGGUCCCGCGGUCGUGCUCGAGCCUUCGCGAGAAAGGACAGGCACCA